CCACUUGCCCGAACCAUCGUUCCGUACAGCGGAAAGGAAAGUCCGGACAGCGAAGGGCAACCCACCGGUGAACAGCCGGCUCCCGUUGCAGAACGGGAAGAGAUAGUGCCACAGAAAAUAACUGCUCCAUUCAAACGGAGUAAAGGUGAAAAUGUGAGGUAAGAGCUCACAUCCCAUGCUGGUAACAGUAUGAGAGGGUAAACCUUGGGUGCUGUAAUGCCAUGUAUAGGAACGUUUGAAGACGGCCCGUCUGAGUUCCAGGGUAGGCAGCAAGAUCGCAACAGUAAUGUUGCGGCCAGAUAAAUGAUGGUUUAGAAACAGAAUCCGGCUUACGAGGCAAGUGGUUUU
rnacentral:RNase_P_RNA from 2 species